rnacentral:rRNA from 1 species
GACAGUUCGGUCCCUAUCUGCCGUGGGCGCUGGAGAACUGAGGGGGGCUGCUCCUAGUACGAGAGGACCGGAGUGGACGCAUCACUGGUGUUCGGGUUGUCAUGCCAAUGGCACUGCCCGGUAGCUAAAUGCGGAAGAGAUAAGUGCUGAAAGCAUCUAAGCACGAAACUUGCCCCGAGAUGAGUUCUCCCUGACUCCUUGAGAGUCCUGAAGGAACGUUGAAGACGACGACGUUGAUAGGCCGGGUGUGUAAGCGCAGCGAUGCGUUGAGCUAACCGGUACUAAUGAACCGUGAGGCUUAACCUUACAACGCCGAAG